ensembl:ribozyme RNaseP_nuc Nuclear RNase P
GGUGGAGGAAGAUUAUCCGCGGGGCAACGUGCUGAGUGCUCAGCACUCCCUGGCCCCUGGGAAGGUCUGAGACUGGGGCCUCCCUUGGCCCUAACCAGGCCCUCCCUGACCUCCCAGAGAGCAGGGCCCACAUUGGGCGCCAGGUAUAUUGAGAGCUGAUCCAUAGUCUGUAUGGUUAAGAUAUCUUUAUUCAGAUAAACACC